GGCGACAUAGCCAAGCGGUAAGGCAGAGGUCUGCAAAACCUCCAGCCCCGGUUCGAAUCCGGGUGUCGCCU
rnacentral:tRNA from 1 species